ACUCCCGCAUGCCCCGCAUCCAUCACACGCCCGCCUGCUGCCGCUGGGUCGCAGACGGGCAGGGAGGCCGGCUCACCGGGGGCAGCCGCGCUCUCCUGCCCCCCGACCUGCCCCUCUCCGGGGGCAUCCGGGUUCAGCCGCCCAGCAGACGCAAGGUGGGCUCACAUCUCUGUCCCAGCUUUCAGCCAAGCUUCCGGAGGGUCCCAUUUGGACGAGGUGAGGAGGCCCCCACCCAGAAAGCCCAGGUCUUUGGUCAGAGAAGGUGCGCGAGGGUUUAAGUUCAGCGGGGCCGACACCCGGUGCCCUUCCUGUCUUAACCCCCCUCCUCCCCGCCCGAUGCAGCAAACGUUUCUUGGGAAAAAGGCCCAGGCCGGGUGACGCCAGGAGGGGCUCUAGAGCUGGAGCCUGGAGAGGGGGCCACGGGUGCAUCCAGGUGGCAUCCAGGUGAGGCCGGGGUUCCGGGCAGACACUCCGCCCCUGCCCCUCCGCCCGGGGUAGUGUCUUGCCCCCUGGCAGGUCCCAGACCUGAGAGGCGGUGUCUGGGACCGGGGCCACCAGGACCGACGUGUCCCGGGCUGGCCCAGCACAGUCUGGGGUCCAAGAGCCCCAGGGGCAGGGAGAGGGCUUCCCCAGCACGGCGGGGAGUGGAUCCGGAGCCGCACCUCCACACGCAGGAGAGACAAGCUGGGGACCCCGAGGCUCCGGUCAGGGCAGGACUUAACUCUGAGCCCUGACCGUGGGAGAGGCAGUGGUGAAGCCAGGAUGGGAAGGAGUUCCCUCCACCGCGAGCCCCGUGGUCGGCAGGUGAGCUGAGCCCAGUCCACAGGGGGCGGGCCCAUGCCCGUGCCCUCACACACGUCUCUCCACCACCCCCGACAUGCAGGCACCCCUGUCACAGGCUGUCCGGGACCCCACAGCAGCCCCCAGCCUCCAUGGCCCCGGGCCCAUGGCUCUGACUCCAGGACCCCAGUGUCUGACCUGGGCAGGCUCAGGUUUCUUACAAUGCACACAGAUUUGUUUGCUUAUCAGGAAAAGAAACAAAAGACAAACGUGAAGAAAUCCUGGGGAGGAAUGAAGGUGGGAACUGUCCUCUGUGAGCGACCUCCGAUCUCGAAACCUGAGCCAGCUAACCCGUCACUGGUGCGAGGGGCUGAGCAGCCACCUGCCCUGCCACCCACCAGCCUCCCUGCUGGCCCUGGAGGAGGUGGGCUCUGGACCGGCCUGGUCAACCCCCGAGGCUGGCACGCGGUUGGGCACUCUCCCUUGGAACGGACACCAAGCAGCGACAGUUCCCGGGUGUGAGUUAGCUCUCGGGGAUGCCCGCCAGCCAGUUGACUUGGAGCCUCAAGAUGUGGGGUUUUGGCCCCACUCACCCCCCAACACACCUCCGGGCCUCAAUGUCCCCUUCUUUAAAUGGAGAAGGCUGGUCUCGGUGACCUGGAAGAUACCUGCCGGUCCCACAUGAAAUCCUGUGACCCUAAGGAAGGUGGGCGGGCAGGGAGAUACCCCUGGUUGCCCCAGGAAGUCAUACCUGAGUGGCUUUUAGAUCAUAGGGGUCAGCCUUUCUGUCCCCUUUGAAGUAUUUAUCGAGCUCGUGUUUGCGGAGGGCUGACCGCGGGCCAGGAGUUGUCCACGCACUUCUCAGCACUGUCUCACUUAAUGUUCCACAGACCUACCGGGCCCUUGUAUUGUCUCCAGUUUAUAGCUGUGGGAACCCAGGCACAGAGAGGUUAGGCUGUCUGCUUGAGGUCACACAGCUGUCAGCACGCUCCUGCCUGAUCUCCAACCCGGGGCUCCCAGGGAGCUGCAAAGUGCUCCUUUAAGCUUUGGGGCGGGGGGGUCUCACUGUCAGGAACCGGGGCAGCCUAUCCUAACAUGCAGGCCAGAAGACCUCCCAGAAUCUCAUGAGCCCACCAAGGCCUCCCACAAAACUCCGUGGACACCCAAAACCUAAUGAUAUUUGUAGAAAUCCUUUCCAAAGCAGCUGUUCAAAUAAGGCGCCUCGUUAGUCAAGAAGCUGGCGUGGUCGGGGAACACACAACAGCUGGGUUCUUUUUCCUUCUUGCUCAAAUCGGGGUAUUAUUUUUCAAAGCAGACCGGCAGUUCGAGUCCUUGAUGGGAAGCUCCACCCCGCCCCUCCAUUGGGCACCUAAUCCUCUAAUGCCCUUUAUCAAGCGCCCAGUCGUUUAAAGUGUUAUUAAAUGCCGUUUUUUUGGAUUAUAAUUUUUACUCUUGAUUAUUUGAUGACUAUAUAAUCAAAUAUUCAUUGGAUAAUGAUGAUUAAAAUAUAUAAUCCCCCAAA
rnacentral:lncRNA from 1 species